AGGCCCCAGCUGGGAGCACGUUCUCUCAGGGGCUGGCCAAGAAGAGAGGACAGCUGGGCUGGCCUGGCCGGGAGGCCCUUGGCUGGGGCUUGGAUGUGGGCGAGGUGCGGGGGGAGGCGGCGAGGAAAGAGGAGGCGGCCCACCCCGUCUCUCUGGCUCCUCAUCUGUGUGACAGAGGCGAGGGCUCUGAACUCAGGCAUUCACUCAACAAGCACCUGCUCUGCGUUGGGGUCUGGGGCUGUUGACCUGAACAGGAACCAGGCUGGCUUUCCCAGCGAGGAGGAGGGAUUGCCAGGCGGCGAUGGGAGAGCCCAGGGCCUGUGACCGUCCAGGGGGAGGCCGGACCCAGCCUGGGAGG